GUACCAGACUCCUACGGGAGGCAGCAGUGGGGAAUAUUGCACAAUGGGCGAAACCCUGAUGCAGCAACGCCGCGUGAGUGAAGAAGUCAUUCGUGAUGUAAAGCUCUAUCAGCAGGGAAGAAAAUGACGGUACCUGAGUAAGAAGCCCCGGCUAACUACGUGCCAGCAGCCGCGGUAAUACGUAGGGGGCAAGCGUUAUCCGGAUUUACUGGGUGUAAAGGGAGCGUAGACGGCCAGACAAGUCAGAAGUGAAAGCCCAGGGCUCAACCCUGGGACUGCUUUUGAAACUGCCGGGCUGGAGUGCAGGAGAGGUAAGCGGAAUUCCUAGUGUAGCGGUGAAAUGCGUAGAUAUUAGGAGGAACACCAGUGGCGAAGGCGGCUUACUGGACUGUAACUGACGUUGAGGCUCGAAAGCGUGGGGAGCAAACAGGAUUAGAUACCCCCGUACA
rnacentral:rRNA from 1 species